AUACUAAAACUCAAACCCCCUGAUCACUGUGGAUGACCAGUGUGAUGACAGUUUUACCCCUGGAUUUCUUCUUGGUUUCCUCCUUUGUGACCUGCUUUGAACAGUGAGAUUACGUUUUUGCCCAUUGGAUGCACGUGUCGACCAUCGCUGUGCAACGCCUGCUCCUCCACUUUUCUUCUCCCUUUUUCCCUUCCGUUUCCAUUUUCCCACGCGUCGAUCAUCGCUGGACCUGCUUUCGACUUUUCUUUGCUUUCGCUUCUCUCUCUCUCGCCAUUCUCAACUCUAGCUUUCUGUCUCCAAAAUGGCGAUUUUUCUCGCCCUCCAACCUUCCAUCUUUAUCUGAGGAAUUAUCCACAACGGUGCAAUUAGAUCCGAUUCAAUUUUUUACCCAGAAACGUUGGCGUUUCCUGGCUCGGAUCCUCCUCUUCUUCUUCACCCAAACCAGCUGCCCCCACCUUCGAUUGAUACGGACGGAAACACAACGAAUUGAGCCGCAACACCAAUACUGUAACAAUUAUAAGAAAAGAGCUCCAAACCCGCAAAGAAGUAGGAUUACAAAUAAAUAGCAGCAUGUGAACUAAAUACAAAACAGAAUCAAGAUUGAACUUGAUCUGCAGCAGCCGCAUCCUCUGAGGAAACCGUGUUGGAACAGAACUGUAUUUGUGCAGAUCUUGCAAACGUAUUUGAAGUGUUGUUGCCACAACUUCUGCUGUAUCCCAAUCCUUCUGACGCUUUAAACGGAGAGGCUGCAGCUUUAAUGAUGCGUUACCAAGCUGCUUAUGAACAAAGAGUUAAAGCUUGAAGGAGAUUGUGAAAAAUUAGACUGACUCCUCCAACAAAUCUGUCAACCACCUCCUUGCCCAAGAAAACUCAAGUACAUAUCUCGAAAGCUUUUUGUCCAGCCCUGAACAUUUGCUUUCCACAAGAAGGUGGUACAAUAGUUCUAUCCGAUGAUGGUCGCUAUUUUUCAAAGUCAAAGGAUGCUGUGGAAUUUCAAGAUUGAAAACCGCUGGCUUUCAAUCUUUUAAAACAAAUUACCUUUGUAAGGUAUCAAAACUAUAAUUUUUCUAUAGCAAAUAAAUUUUUUUCCUUCACUAUGGUAAUUUUGUUUAGAUUAAUUAAUGUUACACUGAUACUAACUCAAAUUUAUACACUGCUAUAAGAUCAAUUUGUAAUCCCGCAGCAACGCACGGGCAUUACUAGCUAGUAUAUACUAAAAGAGGAAAUGAACUGAAACACUGUUCAUAGAGCAGUGUGAUACCGAUUUUAACCCUGCUUGCUUUGUUUAUUUCGUUUGGACCAGUCACGCGCUUCCUGUCUUUUUUCUUCUUUUCUGGACCCUUCUGCUUCGUUUUCUUCAGAACCCUCACUCAGCUUCCCCAUCUCUCUUCGAUCUCCGCUUCGCGCUCUUCAAUCUUUGCUUCGUCAUCUCUUCCUCUGUGCUUUCUCCGUGAUUUCUUCACCAGCAACUUUGCUCCAGAUCUGUCCAAUUGAAAAAACCCAGAUCAUCAUCAUCUAUUCCUCAUCACCGCAGGUACCUUCUACACCUAUUACAUGUCAAAAUCUGCUUCGUGGUCUUCUGUGAGUUCUUCGCCCGAUUUGGGUGGUAAUUUAGUGUUUUGCAUAUCAUGUUUUAAAAAUAGGUUUUGUGUUUGAAUUUCGUUUUUGUGAUUUUGGGGGUUUUGUUUCUAAUCGGGGGAGGGUGACUGAUCAUCUGAAAAAAUUGAGGUAUAUGGUUUUUCUCUUCGAAUUCCAUAAACAUGCAUGUAUUUUACAUCUCCCUUAGAGCUUUUAUGUCUCUUCCUUUGAUCUGAUACAUGCCACGGUGUGGUUUGAAUCCUAUACAAUCAUAGGAAUCCUUUUCUGGAUGUAUUUUAUUGGACUUCGGUAGACAAAUGUAUCUUUGUUAAUCAAUCUUAUCUCCGUGUGGUGAUUCUCUUCGUGUUAUUUAAGGCUGCAAUUUUUUCCAUCUUUGUGAUAUUAAAUUUUUUUUUGUCAUGAUUCCAGGUUUUUGAAAAAAUUCGCCUUCACUGACUAACUAAAAAUAUUUAAACGCUGUUGCUGAUCGGUAUAAAGACAAAAUAAAAAAGUUGUGGUCCUCUGUUAGGAUUUUACUGGCAAACAGUAUAUUUUGCAUUUUGGUUGCUCAGUUUCUCAAUCACAGAUUUGCAAAUAGCUAUCGUGGUGCUAUUAUUUUUGCGUAUGUUUUCUGUCAAUAUUUUCCCUGUUUGAUUAUGCAUUUAUGAAUGUUGGAUUAAAAUGUAUUUAUUUUUGGGAAGAAAUCAGAUGGCUGGUUAGAGUUUUAGAAACCUUUAUGUUUUUUGCCUUUUAUGGUAAUGAGAAAAAGGAGGAGAACAUUGAUCUUAAUUGUAAUUUUCAGUUCUUUACACUGUUAAUACUGAAAUCUCUGUUUUGUAGACAAAUGGUUGACAUGUGAACAUUUGUAAAUGCAGUAAAUAUGAGGCCCAAUAAAAGUGUUUUUUUUCCUUCUCUCUUAUAUUCAUCUGUUUUCAAUAUCGGAUUGGAUUUGCAUCAAGGGUUUUAUUGAUUUGAUAUUAUUGAUAAAAUACUAGAAAACCCACAUGAAGUUAAGCACUUUUAGGGGUUUGUUCUGCUUUUGGUUCACUUAAUAUUCAUACCUGUUUAUGUUUUUACUUUUUAACUAUAUGUUUUUAAGUUUUUUUUUGUUCUGUGGUCUAUUGCUUGGUAGGACUAAACUUAUUAUUUUUCUAUUUUGUUCAAUUCUCAGCUUCAAAUUUAGACAGCAGUAGCUGCUACAGUUGAAAUCCAAUUGCAUAUCUUAUUUCUACGCCUUUGGUUUUAUUGGUGGUUAGGGGAAAGGAGCUGAGCAUUGAAAAGGAGGAGGAAGGUUACAUUCAUGUCUUUGAGACCACCUUUGAGAGUGUGGAGGGGAUGGCAGAGUAUGCAGUUCAUCCUGCCCACCAUGAUUUUGCCAAGCUGUUCCUUCCC